AAGUCGUAACAAGGUAACCGUAGGUGAACCUGCGGUUGGAUCAUUAAUAAUUCAAGAGGUACUUUUACUGUAUCUUUUUGGCUUGCACCACUUGCCAUUUAUUUGGCAUGAGGGCUUGCUGAUAAAACACACUGUGCACUGUAAUUGUAUUUUGGGGAAGUUAUCGGCGGCUACAGAAAAUUGGCAACCUGCAUAAUGCGCUGUGUCAUGAAGACCGCUAGCAUGUCUUACGGCUUUCCCUGCCCAAACCAUAAACCCAAACCAACGUAUUUAAACAUCAUAUGACUUAUACUUAUUUUUUAUAAAAUAAUACAACUUUUGACAACGGAUCUCUUGGCUCUC
rnacentral:misc_RNA from 1 species